AUUGAACGCUGGCGGCAUGCCUUACACAUGCAAGUCGAACGGUAACAGGUCUUCGGAUGCUGACGAGUGGCGAACGGGUGAGUAAUACAUCGGAACGUGCCCGAGAGUGGGGGAUAACGAGGCGAAAGCUUUGCUAAUACCGCAUACGAUCUCAGGAUGAAAGCAGGGGACCGCAAGGCCUUGCGCUCACGGAGCGGCCGAUGGCAGAUUAGGUAGUCGGUGGGAUAAAAGCUUACCAAGCCGACGAUCUGUAGCUGGUCUGAGAGGACGACCAGCCAAACGGGGACAGAGACACGGCCAGACUCCUACGGGAGGCAGCAGUGGGGAAUUUUGGACAAUGGGCGCAAGCCUGAUCCAGCCAUGCCGCGUGCAGGAUGAAGGCCUUCGGGUUGUAAACUGCUUUUGUACGGAACGAAAAGACUCUUUCUAAUAAAGAGAGUCCAUGACGGUACCGUAAGAAUAAGCACCGGCUAACUACGUGCCAGCAGCCGCCGUAAGAC
rnacentral:rRNA from 1 species